rnacentral:rRNA from 1 species
GUUCCUACGGGGGGCAGCAGUGAGGAAUAUUGGUCAAUGGCCGGAAGGCUGAACCAGCCAAGUCGCGUGAGGGACGACUGCCCUAUGGGUUGUAAACCUCUUUUAUAAGGGAAGAAUAAAUGCUACGUGUAGCAUGAUGCCUGUACCUUAUGAAUAAGCAUCGGCUAACUCCGUGCCAGCAGCCGCGGUAAUACGGAGGAUGCGAGCGUUAUCCGGAUUUAUUGGGUUUAAAGGGUGCGUAGGCGGGCUGUUAAGUCAGCGGUAAAAGCCCGGGGCUCAACCCCGGCGAGCCGUUGAAACUGGCU